UAGGGAAUCUUCCACAAUGGACGCAAGUCUGAUGGAGCAACGCCGCGUGAGUGAAGAAGGUUUUCGGAUCGUAAAGCUCUGUUGUUGGUGAAGAAGGAUAGAGGCAGUAACUGGUCUUUAUUUGACGGUAAUCAACCAGAAAGUCACGGCUAACUACGUGCCAGCAGCCGCGGUAAUACGUAGGUGGCAGGCGUUGUCCGGAUUUAUUGGGCGUAAAGCGAGCGCAGGCGGAAUGAUAAGUCUGAUGUGAAAGCCCACGGCUCAACCGUGGAACUGCAUCGGAAACUGUCAUUCUUGAGUGCAGAAGAGGAGAGUGGAAUUCCAUGUGUAGCGGUGGAAUGCGUAGAUAUAUGGAAGAACACCAGUGGCGAAGGCGGCUCUCUGGUCUGCAACUGACGCUGAGGCUCGAAAGCAUGGGUAGCGAACAGG
rnacentral:rRNA from 1 species